GAAAAGAAAAGAAAAGAAAAGAAAAGAAAAGAAAAGAAAAGGUAGUCUGUUGACACUUAUCCCACCCUGUCAUCCUGACUAUUGGCUGUCGGCAGGAAGCUGUGAGGACAGGUGGCUUGACUUCCACCCCUCUAGUAACUUCGUCCCUGGACAGAGGACCACUCCUUGGAUGCUUUGACUUUCACCCAUGCUUCUAGCUCAGCUGUCACCCUGAAACAUCUGUAUUUAUUAACCUGUGUACACACCUCUGCCCUCAUGUGUCUCCUGCAUCUUUUAUCACUCUCAACCAGUGCAUAUAGGUGCAUAUUCAGUGCUCAAUGAAUUCAUGAGGGGGAAGAAAACUAAACAACGAGCUGAAGCCAAUCUGAGCCAAAAGCAGAGUACAGAGCAAUGCAUGACAGGUCUCACUGUGUAACCCUGGCUGACCUGGAACAGAUUUUCCUGGACCCUAUGUUGAUCCUCCUGCAUCAGCCUCCCAAGUGCCAGGAUGACAAACAUGGCACUAAUUGUGGCUGCCAACUUGACUCCAUCUGAAAUCAACUACAGCAGAAGCAGCUGGGUACCCCUAGGAGGGAUUUUUCUCGGCGGGAACAUUUGAGUACCCCUUAGCUGUCUUCAGACACCCCAGA